GUGCUUGCUUCGGGAGUACAUAUACUAAAAUUGGAAAGAUACAGAGAUUAGCAUGGCUCCUACGCAAGGAUUACACGCAAAUUCGUGAAGCAUUCCAUAUUUUU